UAUAUAUAUAUAUAUAUAUAUAUAUAUAUAUCUUUGUCAUGCCACCUUUGGCACUUGUCCUAUCUUUUUAGUUUGGGCACUGAUCAUUAAUGUUGACGAAGAAAGAGUGUCUUGUAUAUGUACAUGGGAAAUGAUGGGUUUAAUGGCUAAUUUGAGUUUGCAUAAUGCACCUUUAGUGUAUUUCAUGAGAUCACAUUAAGGUCUAUUUUGUGCACUACAUUUGUAUUGUCUUUUUUACCCCUUGGUUACCUCUUUCUUCCGCUCAAACUUUUAAACUCCAUGCGUAUUUUUCUGAAAUAUGUUUGGUUUUAAUGCAUGAGCCAAUACAGAAGUCUUAAUUUUGUUUGGUAGUGGUUUCUGUUGUUCCUUUUGCCUGUUUUUGUAACUCUAACAUUCCAUGGACGUAAGGGGACAUAAUGAUGUAAUUAAUCUUAGUUUGUUCUCUAUGUAUGGGUUCAUUAUCCUUAGAAUUUGCUGGAGUGCAUGGGAGAGGUUGAGAAAUGGGAGAGGUUGGGACGUUACGUUGUUGGGACUUAAACCUAACUUAUGGACUUUUGUUCAGUAGGUUUCACUGACCAUAUUUCUAGGAAGCUCCUCUGUUUGCUAUUGGGCUAAGUGCCUGAUUGAGGAAUUAGUUAUCUUUAUUAUUAGUACAGAAGUACAAUAGUUCUAUCUAGUCAUGUACCUCUUAUUUUAUCACAAUAAAAAGUUUGUCUGCUUGCUAUUGUUAAUUAGGAAUUUGUUUCGUGUCCAUGAGAAUAAACUUUUAAUUUUAAGCCAACAAGAGGCUACAAAGCCAGCAAGUUGUUACUCUUUAUGAAAUUAAUCAAGAUAAAGAGCUGACACUUCAGUGUUUAAACUUUUUAUGUGAAGAUGAAGAUAUAAAAUGUGUAAAGCUGCAUAAUGAAUUGAGUAAUAGAAUUAAUUACUGUACCAAAUUAUUUGGAGAGUUUUGAACUGUAGUUUUGCAGAUACAUUAGUAUGAAGUGUUAUGUUGCAGAUGCUUGAAAGUACGAAUAUAGUUCACUGACUGCACCAAUAUGAGUUAUUUUCUGUUUAAGAAAUUUAAGAAUCAUAUCUUUGGAAAGCAGGGUCCAUUUAGAAUGUUCAGCACUUUUCAUGCUACUCAUAAUUGACAAAUUGGGCACGUUCUUCUGAGAUAUGUGAUCAACGGUACUUAUCAGUGUUAACUACGUAACUGGGAUUUCUAGCUAUUUUCUGAUCUCUGCUUCAUUUCCUAGCUGCAGAAUCUUUCUUCAGAAUAGAAUCGAUGCUUGUAAUGCUAAUUCUGAGUUAUUGACUUAUUGAUAUCGAUUGAUAAGAAUUAAAUUUGAAAUGCUUUUGCAGUUAGGGCCUCAAACAAUGCCUUUUCAUCUUGAUUUAUGUAGUUUUCCGUUGAAGUUGAGUAUUACCCUUUAAUUAGUUAAGCUCAAUGUUUGUAAGAACAACACAGAAGUGUCAUUUGUGUGGGCAUUUUGGCUGAUGGCUAAAGAUAAAAAGGCAUGAACAAGAUGGUACCAUAGUUAUAAUACACCUGCAAAUUGGGGUUACAGUCAAUGUCGGGAUGUAGAACAAGCUUUCUGGCCGCUGCCAUUGUUAUUUUCAAGGAUUUUUCAAAGUUGAAGACAUACAUCUUUCUAGCACUUUAGAAGGGACAGGUACGGCAGUGGAGUACGUUUCUUUCACGGCCAAAAGAGCUGUAACAAGAUCUAUGUAUUACUGUUUCUUUUCUACUAAUGCUCAGAGACAAAGUUUUUUCUUAGUCACAUUGUAAUUAUCUUAUAACUUAUUCCAUUUGAUCAAGAACCAGAUGGAACUGAGGGUUGAGAUGAAUAUGUGAGCAAAACUAGCUAUCCAUGAACAAUUGGAAUUUGGAUAACUGGAAUAGACUUUUUCUUUACUUGUCAGUAGCGAAUGCCUCAACACUGGAAGGUUUCUGUUAUUCUAGCAAGGCUUUUGAAGCGAUUCUUUUCAGUGGAUGCAUCAUCUGCAAUUAUCUUAGUUAGAGGUUGCCAUUGGAUGACUACAUUAUCCUUCACUCAAGCUUUUUGAUCCUCUUCUUGUCAAUGUAGUCAGUGAUAUCAGUGUAAUAACUAACAAGCUUGCAGAUCAUCUUGAAGUUGUGCUCAAUCAUCUUUUUCUGAAGUAUCCUGAUGUAGCCAGUGCUCCUUACAAGGCCAACUUCACUCACAUCAGCAAAGGGGGAGGGGUCUAAUGGAGUUAAAAACUCUUGAGAAGUGAAAUGGCCGUCUCAUCCCCUCUUUGUGAUCCUUCUUCAGACUUGAUCCUUUCCUCUCCGUCAUGGCGCUUACCUGAGUUCUGAAGUUCUAUACCAGCAAAUGAGUCAAGUUGAGCUUUGUAAGGUUUCAAUUAAUAGUGAUCGAUGACAUGAAAAAGACAUACUGUGGCAGCAUCAAGGUGAGUAACUUCGUAGAAUCAUCCGAACUUUCUUUAGCAUUGCUUUUCUUACCCCAGGUUCCCUGUAAGCCAAUCAUGUGCUUCGGCAAAACCUUCUACCAGAACUGCACUACUCUUGAAACUCCAAAUGCAAGUACCAUCUGGGGUUUAUCAACAAUCUCAAGCGUAAAGUGGAUGUUAUACAAGUAUGCUUUAUGAAGAAAUAUGUUUCUCGAAUAGUCAAUUAUUAAAACAGCUUGUAAACCUAAAACUUGUGUAACUGUCACCCCUAUGCAACUAUUGCUUAUAUAAAGUGGAGCUUAGUGUUGACAAGACAUUAAAGUUGAAAAUUUUCAUGUAUUUUAUUAAGGAUUAAUCUUUCCUACACUGUCAAUGUAUACACUAACAGGGUUAAAUGAAUGUCACAUCAUCUGAAUUUAAAUUUAAACAUCAAAUUUUGUAUAUGUGGAAUUUUUAUGAGUUUUUCUGAACGAGUUACAUUUCAGGUGAAGUUUCACCGCUCCCAGAAAUGCAUUAGAUCCUUAAAAGCAGCAGAUUUGAAAGGAGUUGUGCCACUGAGAGCAUUUUAGGUGUUGACAAUGAAGAUGAUGAUCACAGCGAUCUAUACUUUCUUUGUUUGAAUUUGUCUUGUCAAAGAGGACUGUUUUUACAAGAGGGGAUAAUUUGCCUCAAUCAAUUUAGAUGUGGCUGACCUCAGAAACUGCCAUUAGAAGCUGAAGCUUUGGCGCAUUGGGGAAGGGGAGAGCAGCAGGUUGCAAAGCCCGCCGUUAAACAGAAGCACGAGCUAUAACUUUGGUUGUUUGAUGUGUAGUGGAAUUGGAGGGAAGAAGAGAAAAAGCAUUCAUCGCAUAAGAAACUUGAUGAGUAUUCUUUUAGAAAGUGUGUUCUUCAUUCAUGACAGAGGGUUAAAUUGUAAAGAGAUUAAGAUUAUGCACUUUUAAAAUGUGUUUGGAUAGCAAUUAUUUAGUCAAAAAUUAUUAGCUUGCAUCA